UUUAGAGUUUGAUCCUGGCUCAGGACGAACNCUGGCGGCGUGCUUAACACAUGCAAGUCGAACGAUGAAGCCUUUCGGGGUGGAUUAGUGGCGAACGGGUGAGUAACACGUGGGCAAUCUGCCCUUCACUCUGGGACAAGCCCUGGAAACGGGGUCUAAUACCGGAUAACACUCUGUCCCGCAUGGGACGGGGUUAAAAGCUCCGGCGGUGAAGGAUGAGCCCGCGGCCUAUCAGCUUGUUGGUGGGGUGAUGGCCUACCAAGGCGACGACGGGUAGCCGGCCUGAGAGGGCGACCGGCCACACUGGGACUGAGACACGGCCCAGACUCCUACGGGAGGCAGCAGUGGGGAAUAUUGCACAAUGGGCGAAAGCCUGAUGCAGCGACGCCGCGUGAGGGAUGACGGCCUUCGGGUUGUAAACCUCUUUCAGCAGGGAAGAAGCGAAAGUACGUACUC
rnacentral:rRNA from 1 species